rnacentral:rRNA from 1 species
GACGAACGCUGGCGGCGUGCUUAACACAUGCAAGUCGAACGGAAAGGCCCUGCUUUUGUUGGGUGCUCGAGUGGCGAACGGGUGAGUAACACGUGAGUAACCUGCCCUUGACUUUGGGAUAACUUCAGGAAACUGGGGCUAAUACCGGAUAGGAGCUCCUGCUGCAUGUGGGGGGUUGGAAAGUUUCGGCGGUUGGGGAUGGACUCGCGGCUUAUCAGCUUGUUGGUGGGGUAGUGGCGUACCAAGGCUUUGACGGGUAGCCGGCCUGAGAGGGUGACCGGCCACAUUGGGACUGAGAUACGGCCCAGACUCCUACGGGAGGCAGCAGUGGAGAAUAUUGCACAAUGGGCGGAAGCCUGAUGCAGCAACGCCGCGUGCGGGAUGACGGCCUUCGGGUUGUAAACCGAUUUCGCAUGUGACGAAGCGUGAGUGACGGUAAUGGGUAAAGAAGCACCGGCUAACUACGUG